rnacentral:rRNA from 1 species
AUGGCUACUAGUGCUAGCGGAGGUAGAACUGAAGAGAACAAGCCGAGCAUUUUGAGCACAUUACCCAAGCAUCUGCCAUUAGACUUUCUGAAGAGUAUCACAGAUCAGUUCUCAGAGAAGUGUAUAAUUGGUGAAGGCGCUUUUGGAACCGUUUAUAAGGGAACAGCGCCAGAUGGGGAAACCAUUGCUACGGUAGAUAUAUACAGAGACUUCAGCAUCACGCGCUUUCCCCAAAGGAACCCUUUUUAUUCUACUGUAUGUACUUAUAUGAGAUUCCACGCGGAGAAGAAAACUUUAUAA